AGGUUGGCAAAGGGUUGUAUCAAGACGCUAAGGCACAAAAACUAGCUUUCCAACAUUGGAUUGAAGCUAUUGAUCCAAGACAUCGUUAUGGUCAUAAUCUCAACUUUUACUACGAAGAGUGGGGUAAAGGUGAUACAGAGCAGCCAUUUUUUCAUUGGUACACAAACUUCUCUUGGUUGAUUCUUUGAUUUUUCUGCCUCUAGUGCUAUAUGGGCCCACAAAUAUCUGCACUAUGUUUCCUCUUUUCACCCCCUUCUUCAGAAUUGUUAUCUGUAGAAUCCAGUAUCUUAAUUGUAUUUUGGGGACAAAUUUACGAUAACCUUUUAACAACAAUAAUGUAGAGGGCAAAUAUUGUCUAAGGAAAACGAUAUAGUGCCUCCAAAUUAUCUA